GAUUUCUGCCUCCCACUGUGCACCUGAAGCGGGCAGCCGGGGAAGCAGCCGUGGGCACUACUGCCGGGCUCGGAAAGCCUGACUUGGAUGCCUAGUGCGUGUUUUCCUGUUUCUCUCCAGGCCUUGUGCCCGCAGCAUGGGUGUCAUCGCUCUCCCACUGCCUGCGGGUUGUGUGCGGCCCAGCCAGCCCCAGCAGCAGCCCUCAUCCCCCGCCUUGCGCUGUCUUCUCUCCCUGUGACUGCUGGUGUCUCCUGGGCCCACUACGUCCCUGUGAGAGCCUCUGCCUCAGGAGAAGGACAGAGUGGAGCCUCCAUGGAGCCCUGCUGAUCCUGGACUGAAAGCAGCGUGACAUGUCGGGGACAGAGUUCAGUUGCCGUGAGGACGGAGAGACUGUCGGGAGUGGGUGCUUUGUCCUGAGCACAAAAGCCGGGGACCAAGGGUGACUGCAGUGGCCGCAGGAAAGGGGCUGUGGGUCCCCCAGUCUGAUUCCUCCUACCCUCCCAGUUCCUAUGGGGCCUGAGUAUGUACCUGAGAUUUAAUUUUUGUGGUCUUCUUGGGGCUUUCUCCCCCUCUCUCACCCUGAUACGCUCGGGGCUUCUUUCCCUGGUUGGUCUUCCCUUGUCUGCCUCAGUUGGAGUCCUCUGAAAACACCUAUCAAAAUCCCAGUGUCUUUCAAGGCCUGCCCUUUCCAACUAGAAGGGCCUUUGCCUGUCUGUGCAGUCAGGCCACUCAAGAUGGCUGUUCUCCUGCUCUCUGUACAUCCCCUGCUCAGCCAGCCCUGCUUCACUCACAUGCCUAUCAAAUCCUCUUAAUUAUAGGGUUUAAUUAGCCUCUGGUAACUGAUGAGCUACGUGAUGUCUAAUCCCCUAUGAACAGUAGCCUCCUCCUCCAGCUGUAGCAAAGACCGCUGCCGUGUCCUGCCGCUGUCUGCUGCACAGGGUGGGGUGUCACUCCAGGACCCUUUGUGCAAGGUCCCCCUGUCCAGUAAACCACUGAUAUCUCUGUCA